GAGGCUAAUUGAUUGGGUUAUAAUUAGAACUUCUCUAAUCGGAAAUAGAGAUGGAUUCAAGGGAACGUUUGUUUUGUUUUAAAGGAUUAUGUGGGGCAGACGACUACAUAAUGCCGAGAGUAGAAAAUGAACGUACUUGAUUGCUUUCGCUUGAUUGGGUAGUUAUUUGGAACGAGUAAGAGUCUCGGAUGUCGAGUAUUAACGUGUGUGUUUCGUUUCAGGACAAAUGUCACUGAGACGUUAUAUGCGUCGGUGCGCUCCGGCAUUGCCUGAUGAGGUGCCAGAGCAAGUGGGAUCCGAUGAAGUUUGUGAGUUGCGGGCCCAAGUAGC
rnacentral:lncRNA from 1 species